UACGAAGGUGGCAAGCGUUGUUCGGAUUUACUGGGCGUAAAGGGAGCGUAGGUGGUUAGGUAAGCCCUCCGGGAAAUCUUCAGGCUUAACCUGAAAAGGUCGGGGGGGACUGCCUGGCUAGAGGACGGGAGAGGAGCGCGGAAUUCCCGGUGUAGCGGUGAAAUGCGCAGAUAUCGGGAAGAACACCCGUGGCGAAGGCGGCUCUCUGGAACGCAACUGACGCUGAGACGCGAAAGCGUGGGGAGCAAACAGG
rnacentral:rRNA from 1 species